CAUAUACAUACACCGUCUAGGUGUAUUUUACUAUUAAUAUAUAUAUAUAUAUAUAUAUAUUAAUAGUAAAAUACACCUAGACGGUGUAUGUAUAUG